UACGGGGGGGGGCAAGCGUUGUUCGGAAUUACUGGGCGUAAAGGGCGCGUAGGCGGCCAUCUAAGUCAGACGUGAAAUCCCUCGGCUCAACCGAGGAACUGCGUCUGAUACUGGAAGGCUUGAAUCCGGGAGAGGGAUGUGGAAUUCCAGGUGUAGCGGUGAAAUGCGUAGAUAUCUGGAGGAACACCGGUGGCGAAGGCGGCAUCCUGGACCGGUAUUGACGCUGAGGAGCGAAAGCAUGGGGAGCGAACAGG
rnacentral:rRNA from 1 species